rnacentral:rRNA from 1 species
GACGAACGCUGGCGGCGUGCUUAACACAUGCAAGUCGAACGGAAAGGCCCUGCUUUUGUGGGGUGCUCGAGUGGCGAACGGGUGAGUAACACGUGAGUAACCUGCCCUUGACUUUGGGAUAACUUCAGGAAACUGGGGCUAAUACCGGAUAGGAGCUCCUGCUGCAUGGUGGGGGUUGGAAAGUUUCGGCGGUUGGGGAUGGACUCGCGGCUUAUCAGCUUGUUGGUGGGGUAGUGGCUUACCAAGGCUUUGACGGGUAGCCGGCCUGAGAGGGUGACCGGCCACCUUGGGACUGAGCUACGGCCCAGACUCCUACGGGAGGCAGCAGUGGGGAAUAUUGCACAAUGGGCGGAAGCCUGAUGCAGCAACGCCGCGUGCGGGAUGACGGCCUUCGGGUUGUAAACCGCCUUCGCCUGUGACGAAGCGUGAGUGACGGUAAUGGGUAAAGAAGCACCGGCUAACUACGUG